GUGCCAGCAGCUGCGGUAAUACGUAGGGGGCAAGCGUUGUCCGGAUUUACUGGGUGUAAAGGGUGCUCAGGUGGAUUUGUUAGUCGGAGGUGAAACUCCGGAGCUUAACUCCGGAACUGCCUCCGAAACAGCAAGUCUUGAGUUUGGUAGAGGAUGAUGGAAUAUCUGGUGUAGCAGUGAAAUGCGUAGAUAUCAGAUAGAACACCAAUGGCGAAGGCAGUCAUCUGGGCCAUAACUGACACUAAAGCACGAAAGCGUGGGGAUCAAACAGGAUUAGAUACCCUGGUAGUCCACGCCCUAAACGAUGAGUACUAGAUGUUGGUCCCAUAGGGGUCAGUAUCCAAGCUAACGCAUUAAGUACUCCACCUGGGAAGUACGAUCGCAAGGUUGAAACUCAAAGGAAUUGGCGGGG
rnacentral:rRNA from 1 species